rnacentral:rRNA from 1 species
AUUGAACGCUGGCGGCAGGCCUAACACAUGCAAGUCGAGCGGCAGCGGGACCUUCGGGUUGCCGGCGAGCGGCGGACGGGUGAGUAAUGCCUAGGAAUCUGCCUGUUAGUGGGGGAUAACGCGGGGAAACUCGCGCUAAUACCGCAUACGUCCUACGGGAGAAAGCGGGGGCUCUUCGGACCUCGCGCUAACAGAUGAGCCUAGGUCGGAUUAGCUAGUUGGUGGGGUAAUGGCCCACCAAGGCGACGAUCCGUAACUGGUCUGAGAGGAUGAUCAGUCACACUGGAACUGAGACACGGUCCAGACUCCUACGGGAGGCAGCAGUGGGGAAUAUUGGACAAUGGGCGAAAGCCUGAUCCAGCCAUGCCGCGUGUGUGAAGAAGGUCUUCGGAUUGUAAAGCACUUUAAGUCGGGAGGAAGGGCUGUAGGCCAAUACCUUGCAGUUUUGACGUUACCGACAGAAUAAGCACCGGCUAACUUCGUGCCAGCCGCCGCCGUAA